UUAGCGCAUGUGAAUUUAGUGGUAGCAUGUAUAUAUUUACUGUAUAUCUUUGCAUUCUGUACCCCAAAUAAACGGACAAGAGCAUCAUUAUAUGUCACUUGAACGACUUCACCUUUGUUGGGACUGUCUAUUAUUAACACCUGAAGCUGAUGACAAUGUUUCUCCUGCAUGAACCUUACACGGGACUCAUUGCUCUCCUCUUUGGCCCAGCAACCGAGACUGAUCCUUUACUCUUUAACAGCUCCAAUAGGCUGCUGGUGACAGAGUGCCCUUUGGAAAACAGACUUGAAAAUGGCAAGACGCCUGCUGUAGCCUGUGGCUCUGCUCGUCUGAACCGUCUGGAGGUCACAUGACCAAAACCUGGAAGCUACACAGCAGAGAUUUCACAUUCAUCUGCCUUUCACCAUGUCAACCAUCCUGCCAGUCAAAAACUCCCAUGCUUUUAGCUCUUUCACGGAUAUUGACCUGUAAUGCUCAAACUGUUUUUGUGUGCUUGUACAUGUGUGUGUCGCAUGCAAGCGCUCACCGACUGAGCCUAAUUUUAAUUAGGACCAGUGAGGUGUCUAAUUAAAGAAGGGCUUGCUAAUUAAUUGCAUUAUGAACAGUAGAGAGAAGAGGGCCCUUAAGACAGAGAGGUGCUGCUCUGUGUUUUCAUCUGUUGGGGUGACACUAAUUGGUCUGGAUUUACAAUCUGGCAGAGAUACAAAGCGCUCCAAGUGAACUGGUGGUGCUUCUGGUCAAACAUGGCCUGUGCAACAUCAUGCUGGCCAGCUAAAUGGUUAGUUUUUCUACUCCAUUCACACAGAUAUCUUAUGUGUGAUCCUGGUGCUAUCACAGAUUUGAUUUCGAUCUAUUGAGAUAAGGUCGUCCACGUAAGGAGAACUUGCACAUAACCCAUCUUUUUUCACUCUCACUUCUGGCUAGUGUUGCCAGUUAUGUAAGGUACAUAGUUUCUCCUCAGCCAACAACAGUACUGACCUUGUGAUUGCCAUCUCUGAGUGUGGAACAAACAAAGGUUGACUAGCAGGCUGCUGAGACUGAGUUUCAAGUCAUACAUAUAACUUAUUUCUCCAUAAUGAUAGUGAAGAGCAAAUU